CUUUUCUAUUCACUUAUUCUUGCCAUCAACGCCGCCAGGGUAUGUCUAAUCAUGCCACAGUGUUUCACAUUUACGUUUUUCAAGUCACCAUGCAAGUGACUCGCUAUACGAUACUACCUCCCUUCUUACAACAACCACUCUCUACACAACUUAUGUUUAGCUUGGUCUGGCUCUUGGGGUUCCUUAAGUGGCCCUAGAUAGUUUUCGGCUUCUUGUGCCAUUGUUUAGCAGUCCCGAGAGGCCAACUUUCAUCCUCCACUACGGAGGUAUUUGCCCCUCAGGCUAAAUCAUAGUUACUGCCUUGCAUUUCUGCCCUCCUGGCAAAAGCACUUAGGGCCUCACCUGUCCCGGCCAACUUAUUUUGAAUGUCUUUAAUCCUCACCGAGAGGCUGCCACCCCACUACCCCACCACAAUGCUCGGUGGCAAACAUACCCAAAGAGCCAAAUCAUAGGUAGAGCCUCUCAUCGCCACUUAGCAACUAGUUAGGUUCUCAAGUCACCAAUUUAGCUUAAUUGUUUCGCCACUUGGCAUAAUUUAGGUCAGCC